AGCAGCCGCGGUAAUUCCAGCUCCAAUAGCGUAUAUUAAAGUUGUUGCAGUUAAAAAGCUCGUAGUUGAAUUUCGGGAUCAGUUGGUCGGUCGUGCCUCGGUACGUACUGGUCAAAUUGAUUCCUACCUUCUGACGAACCACGAUGUCAUUAAUUUGGUGUCGCGGGAAAUCAGGACUGUUACUUUGAAAAAAUUAGAGUGUUUAAAGCAGGCUCGCGCUUGAAUACAUUAGCAUGGAAUAAUGAAAUAGGACGUUUGAUUCUAUUUUGUUGGUUUCUAGGAUCGACGUAAUGAUUAAUAGGGAUAGUUGGGGGCAUUAGUAUUCAAUUGUCAGAGGUGAAAAUUCUUGGAUUUAUUGAAGACUAACUACUGCGAAAGCAUUUGCCAAGGAUGUUUUCAUUAAUCAAGAACGAAAGUUAGGGGAUCGAAGACGAUCAGAUACCGUCGUAG
rnacentral:rRNA from 1 species